UGAAUGCCUAAAAACGGAAAUGUUUGUGCUGUUGAGCAAAAUUAUAUUUUAGAUGAAAGAAUUAUAUUUUGUGAAAUAAUGUUUCCAGUUACAAAAUACUUUAAAUUGAAUCGAGAAUGCGAUACCAUAUGCCUAUGUCCCUGACACGCU